rnacentral:rRNA from 1 species
ACCAAGACAACGAUGGAUAGGGGUUCUGAGAGGAAGGUCCCCCACAUUGGAACUGAGACACGGUCCAAACUCCUACGGGAGGCAGCAGUGAGGAAUAUUGGUCAAUGGACGAGAGUCUGAACCAGCCAAGUAGCGUGAAGGAUGACUGCCCUAUGGGUUGUAAACUUCUUUUAUAUGGGAAUAAAACGUUCCACGUGUGGGAUUUUGUAUGUACCAUAUGAAUAAGGAUCGGCUAACUCCGUGCCAGCAGCCGCGGUAAUACGGAGGAUCCGAGCGUUAUCCGGAUUUAUUGGGUUUAAAGGGAGCGUAGGUGGAUUGUUAAGUCAGUUGUGAAAGUUUGCGGCUCAACCGUAAAAUUGCAGUUGAAACUGGCAGUCUUGAGUACAGUAGAGGUGGGCGGAAUUCGUGGUGUAGCGGUGAAAUGCUUAGAUAUCACGAAGAACUCCGAUUGCGAAGGCAGUUCACUGGACUGCAACUGACACUGAGGCUCGAAAGUGUGGGUAUCAAACAGGAUUAGAUACCCUGGUAGUCCACACAGUAAACGAUGAAUACUCGCUGUUUGCGAUAUACAGCAAGCGGC